UACAGAGGUCUCAAGCGUUGUUCGGAUUCAUUGGGCGUAAAGGGUGCGUAGGUGGCGCGCUAAGUCGGGUGUGAAAUUUCGGAGCUUAACUCCGAAACUGCAUUCGAUACUGGCGUGCUUGAGGACUGGAGAGGAGACUGGAAUUCGUGGUGUAGCAGUGAAAUGCGUAGAGAUCAUGAGGAAGACCAGUGGCGAAGGCGGGUCUCUGGACAGUUCCUGACACUGAGGCACGAAGGCCAGGGGAGCAAACGGG
rnacentral:rRNA from 1 species